CUCCAAACAGACAUGCGAGGUGCCUUUGGAAAACCCCAGGGCACUGUGGCCGGGGUUCACAUUGUACCACGGUUAUCAUGUCCAUCUGCACCAAGCUGCAGAACAAGGAGCAUGUGAUUGAGGCCCUGCGCAGGGCCAAGUUCAAGUUCCCUGGCCACCCCAAAGAUCCACAUCUCAAAGAAGUGAGACUUCACCAAGUUCAAUGCAGAUGAAUUUGAAGACAUGGUGGCUGAGAAGCGGCUCAUCCCAGAUGGCUGUGGGAUCAAGUACAUCCCUAGUCGUGGCCCUCUGGACAAGUGGCAGGCCCUGCACUCAU
rnacentral:lncRNA from 1 species